UUCCAUUACUUCUAUCAGCUGGGACAACUGUAGCCCCAGUUUGAGCCGUUAAAUUCUUGUGCUGUGGAAAACCAAGAGAUGAGAAGAACUGAAAAAAAUAAGAGACAGGGUUCCUGUGGAUCUGUGCCACUUCCUUGGAGGAGGCUCCAGUCAUCCUGGUACACACUCUAGAGGUGGCCACUCCAAGCAUCUCCUUGGUGUCCCACAGCUCAGAACUGUUUUUUGAUCUCUGCUUGUCCACUGCAGUGACAACGAGCCAGAAGAUUACAUUCACGUCAUAUCCUUCAGGGAAACACAAACUGCCCAAAAUCUGCCUAAAAUAUACCAUGACAUCACUCGCGGACCUCCCAGAAUCACCCAGAAGGAGGAAAAGUCAGCUUUCCCAGCCCGCCCCCAGUGUGAUUCCAGGGGAUUCAGACCCUAUAAGGCAGUGAAGCUCUGUGAGCAGCAAGGAUAAAGUUUCAAAAGAUUUCUUGUUCUUCACGACGUGGGGAUUUCACAAACAGGAAAAACUGCUUUUACUUUUCCUAAAGAGGAACUGUUUAUGCCUCAUGAUGCAUUGAUGCCUGGAACUGGGCUUGCUUUAAAGUAGAGCGGAAAUGUAAGAAAUGCUCUUAGCAUAGGACAAGCAGAGGUAAGCUCUCCCCCAGUCAUGCCAGCUGUUCGUUCCAGACAUCCACUUUUUA
rnacentral:lncRNA from 1 species